rnacentral:tRNA from 1 species
GGUGGCUUAAUGGUAGAGUGCUUGCCUUGCAUGCAUGAGGCCCUGGGUUCAAUUCCUCAGCACCG